ensembl:misc_RNA 7SK 7SK RNA
GCAUGUCAGGGCUAUCUAGCUGUAACAUCUGUCACCCUAUUGAUCACCAAGGUUGAUCUGGCUGAUCUAGCUGCCUGGGCAGGUGUCCCCUUCCCCGCUCACCACUCUAUGUACAUCCUUCCCAAAGCCGCACACUUGAAGAGGAUGACCGUCUCUGAUAGAGGAGGACCGGUCUUCGGUCAAGGGUAUGCCUCCAAACCUCCAAACAAGUUCUCAAAACAGAGGAUUCAUGUAAAGUACUUAGCCCAGUACCCACCACACAGUAUAUGAUAAACAAAUAUUAGAUCUUAUUAACA